rnacentral:misc_RNA from 1 species
GUAUCCACACUUCUCCUUCGGGGAAGCAUUCUCUGACCCCCUAG